GAAAAUUCUGGGGAGAGAGAGAAAAAGAGUUUGGAGAAGAAAAAAAACUAAUUUUGAUCGAAAUCUGAGCCCCGAAUCCCGAAGCCCAUGAAGGGAAAAGUGUUGUACGCUGCGUUGUCUUCAAUUUGAGCUAAAAAUCAACCAAGGAGGAGAGUGAUAACGUGGUGGCUGCAUACUUAAGAUUUUGGAGGAAAUGGGAUUCGAAUUUGGAUAAGCGUAAAAGGCAAAUAAGGUACACCCAGAUGAUAUGAAGUUAUUAUAGAGGAUGUUCCGGCAGAGUUGGCAAGCUCCAUUUGCUCCUGGAGUGCUGCCGAGUCAGAGUUUAUACGUAUGUUUUUCUGGAUUGAUGUUAGAGGCUUUGCAGACAGAGUCGUGUCGUGGGUAUAGUAUGUCAGUUGUGUAUGCGGCUUCAUCAGCCGAUAUGUCAUUCUGUAUUAUGUGUUAAAUUCUGUAUGAUUAUAGAUUCUGUUUGAUUCGGAAAGCAUCGAACAAGCAUAUUUUGAGAGUUUAUUAUAUAUUUUAUUUUU